rnacentral:rRNA from 1 species
GUAAUACAUUAGCAUGGAAUAAUGAAAUAGGACGUUUGAUUCUAUUUGUUGGUUUCUUAGGAUCGACGUAAUGAUUAAUAAGGAUAGUUGGGGGUCGAUUAGUAUUCAAUUGUCAGAGGUGAAAUUCUUGGAUUUAUUGAAGACUAACUACUGCGAAAGCAUUUUGCCAAGGAUGUUUUCAUUAAUCAAGAACGAAAGUUAGGGGAUCGAAGACGAUCAGAUACCGUCGUAGUCUUAACCAUAAACUAUGCCGACUAGGGAUCGGAUGAUGUUAAUUUUUUAAUGACUCAUUCGGCGCCUUACG